GACGAACGCUGGCGGCGUGGAUUAGGCAUGCAAGUCGAACGGUAUCAUCCUUUCGGGGGUGAGAGAGUGGCGAACUGGUGAGUAACACGUAGGUUAUCUACCCUCAAGACGGGGACAACCCAGGGAAACUUGGGCUAAUACCGGAUGUGAGCAACUUUUAGUUGUUUGAAAGGUGGCGUAAGCUAUCGCUUGGGGAUGAGCCUGCGUCCUAUUAGUUAGUUGGUGAGGUAACGGCUCACCUAGACAAUGAUAGGUAGGCGGCCUUAACGGGUGGUCACCCACACUGGGAUUGAGAUACGGCCCAGACUCCUACGGGAGGCAGCAGUCGAGAAUAGUCUACAAUGGUCGGAAGACUGAUAGUGCGACGCCGCGUGAACGAUGAAUCCCUUCGGGUGUAAAGUUCUUUUAUAUGUGAGCAGUGCUUCUUAUAUUAACAGUAUGGGGAAGAGAUAUUAGCAUAUGAAUAAGCAACGGCUAACUCCGUGCCAGCACGCCGACGUU
rnacentral:rRNA from 1 species